GACGAACGCUGGCGGCGUGCUUAACACAUGCAAGUCGAACGGAAAGGCCCUGCUUUUGUGGGGUGCUCGAGUGGCGAACGGGUGAGUAACACGUGAGUAACCUGCCCUUGACUUUGGGAUAACUUCAGGAAACUGGGGCUAAUACCGGAUAGGAGCUCCUGCUGCGUGGUGGGGGUUGGAAAGUUUCGGCGGUUGGGGCUGGACUCGCGGCUUAUCAGCUUGUUGGUGGGGUAGUGGCUUACCAAGGCUUUGACGGGUAGCCGGCCUGGGAGGGUGACCGGCCACAUUGGGACUGAGAUACGGCCCAGACGCCUACGGGAGGCAGCAGUGGGGAAUAUUGCACAAUGGGCGGAAGCCUGAUGCAGCAACGCCGCGUGCGGGAUGACGGCCUUCGGGUUGUAAACCGCUUUCGCCUGUGACGAAGCGUGAGUGACGGUAAUGGGUAAAGAAGCACCGGCUAACUACGU
rnacentral:rRNA from 1 species